GACGUAGGGUGCAAGCGUUGUCCGGAUUUAUUGGGCGUAAAGAGCUCGUAGGCGGCUUGUUGCGUCGACUGUGAAAACCCGCGGCUUAACCGCGGGCUUGCAGUUUGAUACGGGCAGGCUAGAGUUCGGUAGGGGAGACUGGAAUUCCUGGUGUAGCGGUGAAAUGCGCAGAUAUCAGGAAGAACACCCGUGGCGAAGGCGGCUCUCUGGGACGGUACUGACGCUGAGACGCGAAAGCGUGGGGAGCGAACAGG
rnacentral:rRNA from 1 species